rnacentral:rRNA from 1 species
GAUGAACGCUGGCGGCGUGCUUAAUACAUGCAAGUCGAACGUGAGGGUGGAUUUCGGUUCACCUGAAAGUGGCGGACGGGUGAGUAACACGUAGCUGACCUACCCUGUAGUGGGGGAUAACCUGCCGAAAGGCGGGCUAAUACCGCAUGCACUGAUGGGGUUUAGAAACUCAUCAGGAAAGCUUUAGUGCUACAGGCAGGGGCUGCGGCCCAUCAGCUAGUUGGUAGGGUAAUGGCCUACCAAGGCAAUGACGGGUAGGGGACCUGAGAGGGUGGCCCCCCACACUGGGACUGAGACACGGCCCAGACUCCUACGGGUGGCAG